rnacentral:rRNA from 1 species
UACGUAGGGUGCGAGCGUUGUCCGGAAUUAUUGGGCGUAAAGAGCUUGUAGGCGGUUUGUCGCGUCUGCUGUGAAAAUCCGGGGCUCAACCCCGGACUUGCAGUGGGUACGGGCAGACUGGAGUGUGGUAGGGGAGACGUGGAAUUCCUGGUGUAGCGGUGGAAUGCGCAGAUAUCAGGAGGAACACCGAUGGCGAAGGCAGGUCUCUGGGCCACUACUGACGCUGAGAAGCGAAAGCAUGGGGAGCGAACAGG